UGCAAUCCAUAACAGCCCAGAGGUUUUGUUGGUGGUUUAUAGCAUGUUCUCUCUCUGGCUUUUUUUUGUAGGUCUUCAAAAAAAACUUUACAAAUGGGCUGUGUACAAGAAGCUUACGUGAGUCUACAUAAGGAAUUUUCACUGGGAAACUUUACUGAAUCCUGCACAUUGCUGUAAUAACAAAUAAAGGCUUAGAAAGAGGAUGAGCUCUUGGCACCUACUCUACAGGGUUGCCCUGGUUCUGUGCCUGGCAGGCUGACUUUGCUCUGAAGUGCACCAGCUCUCCAUACCUUGUAUGUUUUAAUGCCGACACUGAUCUUCAAUCAGCCUUGCUCUGGCCUUCCAGUGAAAAUACGCCAAAAUGUCAUAGGUUUCCAAAUGAAAUGCAAAUACUGAACUUUCUGAAAUUUACUGAUAGUAUUUUACUCCUUUACUGCAUCUGAGCUGUACCAAUGAGGCACAACGGAAGCAAGGGUUUAAGAUUUCUGACAGCAAAGGUCUUUGCACUUGCCACUCCACACGUGUCUCAGCUGGAUGGUCCGUGACACCUUGAUGGUCUUAAAGGUCUUUUCCAACCUAAAUGAUUCUACAGUUCUACGUCCCAUGAAGAAUAUGAGUCGUCUGCUUGCUUGCUCACUCAGCAUAAUGAAAUGAAGCAAUGAAAUACUCAAAGUCAGAGCCAUUUUCACUGUGUAACACUGCUGCUGUAUAUUUGGUUACCUAUGUACAGAUCCAAGGAUAAAUUUUGGCCCUGACCAUGGAAUAUUUACUCACUUUCAAAUACGGAUGUGACCUGCCUUUUCCUUCUGCGACUAACAGGGUGACCAGAGGCAGUGGAAUGUACACCAGGGUUGGAAAGAAUAAAACCAGAGGGAAAGCAAGCUGUCAAGAGAACAGUGUACUGAAGAGAAAAAAUGUAAAACGUGACUUCUAUUUACCAUGAUUAAUAUGUAAAGUUAACUUGUUUGUCAUGGAAUAUAUUAAUAUGUAUGUUUCCCCAUUAUGUAGAUCUUUUCUUAUAUUACUUAUUAGAAAGGGAUACAAUCACAAUGAUGGGGUACGAAUGCCACUUAAAAAUUAGGUGAUGCCCAGUCAACAUAAUAUAACCACUAAUGUCAUUUCUGAUUUAGAUGUGGUGAUAUCAGUGUAAUUGCCGCUGGGAAGAAAUUAAAAUGGCUGUUAAUGAUAAAUAAAAUGACAAGGAGGAGGAUCCUCCUUCA
ensembl:lncRNA